rnacentral:rRNA from 1 species
AACGAACGCUGGCGGCAUGCCUAAUACAUGCAAGUCGAACGAGACCUUCGGGUCUAGUGGCGCACGGGUGCGUAACGCGUGGGAAUCUGCCCAAAGGUUCGGAAUGACUCCUCGAAAGGGGUGCUAAUACCGGAUGAUGUCGCAAGACCAAAGAUUUAUCGCCUUUGGAUGAGCCCGCGUAGGAUUAGCUAGUUGGUGGGGUAAAGGCCUACCAAGGCGACGAUCCUUAGCUGGUCUGAGAGGAUGAUCAGCCACACUGGGACUGAGACACGGCCCAGACUCCUACGGGAGGCAGCAGUAGGGAAUAUUGGACAAUGGGCGAAAGCCUGAUCCAGCAAUGCCGCGUGAGCGAUGAAGGCCUUAGGGUUGUAAAGCUCUUUUACCCGGGAUGAUAAUGACAGUACCGGGAGAAUAAGCCCCGGCUAACUCCGUGCCAGCCGCCGCCGUAAGAC